rnacentral:rRNA from 1 species
UUACACAUGCAAGUCGAGCGGCAGCGCGGGGCAACCUGGCGGCGAGCGGCGAACGGGUGAGUAACACAUCGGAACGUACCCUGUUGUGGGGGAUAGCCCGGCGAAAGCCGGAUUAAUACCGCAUAAGACCUGAGGGUGAAAGCGGGGGACCGCAAGGCCUCGCGCGACAGGAGCGGCCGAUGGCGGAUUAGCUAGUUGGUGGGGUAAAGGCUCACCAAGGCGACGAUCCGUAGCUGGUCUGAGAGGAUGAUCAGCCACACUGGAACUGAGACACGGUCCAGACUCCUACGGGAGGCAGCAGUGGGGAAUUUUGGACAAUGGGGGCAACCCUGAUCCAGCCAUUCCGCGUGAGUGAAGAAGGCCUUCGGGUUGUAAAGCUCUUUCGGCAGGAACGAAACGGUGGGCUCUAACAUAGUCUGCUAAUGACGGUACCUGAAGAAGAAGCACCGGCUAACUACGUGCCAGCAGCCGCGGUAAUACGUAGGGUGCGAGCGUUAAUCGGAAUUACUGGGCGUAAAGCGUGCGCAGGCGGUUCCGUAAGACAGAUGUGAAAUCCCCGGGCUUAACCUGGGAACUGCGUUUGUGACUGCGAGACUG